rnacentral:rRNA from 1 species
AGCGAACGCUGGCGGUAGGCCUAACACAUGCAAGUCGAACGGCAGCACCGUAAGAGCUUGCUCUUACGGGUGUCGAGUGGCGGACGGGUGAGGAAUACAUCGGAAUCUACUUUUUCGUGGGGGAUAACGUAGGGAAACUUACGCUAAUACCGCAUACAACCUACGGGUGAAAGCAGGGGAUCUUCGGCCCUUGCGCGAUUGAAUGAGCCGAUGUCGGAUUAGCUAGUUGGCGGGGUAAAGGCCCACCAAGGCGACGAUCCGUAGCUGGUCUGAGAGGAUGAUCAGCCACACUGGAACUGAGACAGGGUCCAGACUCCUACGGGAGGCAGCAGUGGGGAAUAUUGGACAAUGGGCGCAAGCCUGAUACAGCCAUACCGCGUGGGUGAAGAAGGCGUUCGGGUUGUAAAGCCCUUUUGUUGGGAAAGAAAAGCAGCAGGUUAAUACGCCGCUGUUCUGACGGUACCCAAAGAAUAAGCACCGGCUAACUUCGUG